ACCCAGUCCUGCCACCUUCUCUUGGCGUCGCCUACCUCCAUCCCUUUGGACUCUGCUGCUGCUGGGGUUUAUGCACAGGUGCUUUUGUCCGGGCAGGCCAGAUGGAUUAAUACUAAUACUCAACCCACCCACUUAACGGAUUGCAGUGAAGUGGGGGCUAAUACAAAUAAUAAUAAUACAAGGGCAUUCAUUCCGGUUCCUGGAGGAGGCCUUGUGGAGCUGUUUGCUUUUGAUAAUGUAUCAGAGGAUCGUGAGGUGAUUGAGUUUGUUAUGGAGGAGCGGUGGCCUGCAAAUUGGCCCC